CUGUUUCUGUGGUUCAUUGUCCCUGUCUUCACUACAUCAUAGCAAUGACUGGUUUUGAAUUGUUGAAUGAGUGGACUGAGGUAAUUUUUGCUCACAUUUUCUCUUCCAUCACAAGGUUCUAUCAGCACUCUGUGCCUCCAGUUCCUGCCAUUUAAAGCAGAGGGACACUUCAGCCACUAUGUCCAAGUAAUGACUCCUGUAAUCAUUGUUUCUGUAUAUUCAGUUUUAAACACCCAAAAUCCCAGUCUGAGAUACAGACCAAAAGGAAGGACACUUGUGGGAGCUGUAAGGUGUUGACACAACACCUAGUCAAGUCUACUUGGUCUCAAGUUUUAUGUGCACUUGUUCAUCUAACUGGCUGAUGUGUUUGUAUCUCUCAAAGAUAAUGAGGCCUUUUUUUCCAUUUCCAGGAAACACAUGUGAUUCCAGCUGGAGGACCCAGCACCUCAGCUGACCCUUUCAGGCCAUACAUAGAAAGGGCCAGGCUGUGCUGCUGUUGGUUCCUGCCAUGGGCAGAGUUUUCUUCUCGCUUUGAAUCCUCUCAGACUGCUGCAGUCUCACUUCCCCUGGCACAGGAGAAAACGUGAUGGUGUUUACAGAGCAGAAGCACUGGGACUCAAGAGAUGUGAAAGGUGGCCCUGCUGGCUCUACCUCCAACAGCUCUCCAUGGUUCUGACUUCCUGUCAGGAUAACCUGGACUAAAACCCCUCUGCCUUUUCCUGUGUGAUCCUACAGUAUCUAACACAACCUCAGACUCUGUCAACCUGGCACUCAAGGAGCUCCACCUUCCUCUCAGCCUUCCCAGGGAACUCACCUCAGUGAUUGGAAGGUCUGCCUUCAUUUAUGACCCUCCCUGAUCCCAGUGAGGAGCUGGAACUGCUGUUGACCUCAGGAAUGACAGAAGUAUAUGCUGGGCUUGGAGGGUUUCUGGCAUAUGACCUGCUAACCCAGAAUUUGCUUGGCAAAGUCCAGAGGAUGACUUUUAACCUCAGAGCAGUUUUCAAAACCACAUCUGUGGCUAAUAAUGUAAAAAAGAAAUGAAAAAAUAAAUCUAGCUCCUACUGAAGGAUGUAAGACAGCAUACCUUGC